GACGAACGCUGGCGGCGUGCUUAACACAUGCAAGUCGAACGGAAAGACCCUGCUUUUGUGGGGUGCUCGAGUGGCGAACGGGUGAGUAACACGUGAGUAACCUGCCCUUGACUUUGGGAUAACUUCAGGAAACUGGGGCUAAUACCGGAUAGGAGCUCCUGCUGCAUGGUGGGGGUUGGAAAGUUUCGGCGGUUGGGGAUGGACUCGCGGCUUAUCAGCUUGUUGGUGGGGUAGUGGCUUACCAAGGCUUUGACGGGUAGCCGGCCUGAGAGGGUGACCGGCCACAUUGGGACUGAGAUACGGCCCAGCCUCCUACGGGAGGCAGCAGUGGGGAAUAUUGCACAAUGGGCGGAAGCCUGAUGCAGCAACGCCGCGUGCGGGAUGACGGCCUUCGGGUUGUAAACCGCUUUCGCCUGUGACGAAGCGUGAGUGACGGUAAUGGGUAAAGAAGCACCGGCUAACUACGUG
rnacentral:rRNA from 1 species